rnacentral:sRNA from 1 species
CUACGCUCAUUUAGAACUUGUGGGGCUGCCACUUACUUCGACCUACGGGAUCGAAAGUUUUUCAGACAAUUUACAUUUGAUAAAAUGUUGGCCCCAGCAUACAAUUUAUUUUUGGCCAGUAACCCAUUGGUAUAUUUAAACAUGUGCAUUAAAAAUAUUGUUAUAUUGUAUUUCAUAUUACAGUAAUUUGUUCAAAAAAAAAAAAAUUGUAUAAGA